GACGGAGGAUGCAAGCGUUAUCCGGAAUGAUUGGGCGUAAAGCGUCCGCAGGUGGCAGUUCAAGUCUGCUGUCAAAGACCGGGGCUUAACUUCGGAAAGGCAGUGGAAACUGAACAGCUAGAGUAUGGUAGGGGCAGAGGGAAUUCCUGGUGUAGCGGUGAAAUGCGUAGAGAUCGGAAAGAACACCAACGGCGAAAGCAACUCUGCUGGGCCGACACUGACACUGAGAGACGAAAGCUAGGGGGAGCGAAUGGG
rnacentral:rRNA from 1 species